rnacentral:rRNA from 1 species
GAUGAACGCUAGCGGCAGGCCUAAUACAUGCAAGUCGAGGGGCAGCGGGUCCAGCAAUGGAUGCCGGCGACCGGCGCACGGUGCGUAACACGUAUACAAUCUGCCUUUUACAGGGGAAUAGCCCGGAGAAAUUCGGAUUAAUGCCCCAUAAUAAAUUGAAUGGCAUCAUUUGAUUUUGAAAGCUGAGGCGGUAAAAGAUGAGUAUGCGUCCUAUUAGCUAGUUGGUGAGGUAACGGCUCACCAAGGCCACGAUAGGUAGGGGAUCUGAGAGGACUACCCCCCACACUGGUACUGAGACACGGACCAGACUCCUACGGGAGGCAGCAGUAAGGAAUAUUGGUCAAUGGAGGCAACUCUGAACCAGCCAUGCCGCGUGCAGGAAGACGGUCCUAUGGAUUGUAAACUGCUUUUAUACGGGAGAAAACCCCGGUACGUGUACCGGGUUGAUAGUACCGUAGGAAUAAGGAUCGGCUAACUUCGUGCCAGCCGCCGCAGUAACAC